ACGCUCGACACCUACGGGGGCAGCAGUGGGGAAUAUUGCACAAUGGGGGAAACCCUGAUGCAGCGACGCCGCGUGAGCGAAGAAGUAUUUCGGUAUGUAAAGCUCUAUCAGCAGGGAAGAAACUGACGGUACCUGACUAAGAAGCACCGGCUAAAUACGUGCCAGCAGCCCGUAAUCUGAGCGGGCUGGCAAGGC
rnacentral:rRNA from 1 species